AAAGCUAGUCGGUUUAACACAAAAUAAGCAUGCAAAGCGUUACUACUAAGCAAAAAGAAAGACAAUCACCAACAAUUAACAAAAUUAAACAUGCAAAACGUAGCUAUGAAAGCAAAAGAAAAGCAAUUACAAACAAGUAACAAUUACUAAUCAAGAAUGCUAUACUAUUCGGCCCUAGGUGAGGCUUCUUGGACACUUUGAGCCCUUGAAGACACACUCACCGUCUAAACGUAAUUAACAAGGUAAUUAACAAUAAACCAAGUUGCAAAGGAAAU
rnacentral:lncRNA from 1 species